ACUGAAUUGCUUAAAAAGGGCUGAAGCAAUUUUACUAAAUCAAGAAAAAGUAAAUAAAAGACAAGUGUCAUUGAUACAAAGUCCCCAACCUCACAGAUAUAUCAAUCAGAGGAAGUCCCCACAUAUAAAAUCCAUUACAUGUUUUAAGUGUGGUAGGAUGGGACAUAUUGAAAAAUUUUGUAAAUCAGAUGUGCAUAUUCAUCAUGAAAGGCCCAUGUGUGAUAGAUGGACUCUGGGAAAUAAAAAUAAUCACCCUAGGUGGAGAUCCCAGAGAAAAGAUAAUAAUGGUAUCCCCCUCACAG